AACGAACGCUGGCGGCAUGCCUAACACAUGCAAGUCGAACGAGACCUUCGGGUCUAGUGGCGCACGGGUGCGUAACGCGUGGGAACCUGCCCUUAGGUUCGGAAUAACUCCCCGAAAGGGGUGCUAAUACCGGAUAAUGUCUUCGGACCAAAGAUUCAUCGCCUUUGGAUGGGCCCGCGUUGGAUUAGCUAGUUGGUAGGGUAAAAGCCUACCAAGGCGACGAUCCAUAGCUGGUCUGAGAGGAUGAUCAGCCACACUGGGACUGCGACACGGCCCAGACUCCUACGCGAGGCAGCAGUGGGGAAUAUUGGACAAUGGGCGAAGGCCUGAUCCAGCAAUGCCGCGUGAGUGAUGAAGGCCUUAGGGUUGUAAAGCUCUUUUACCCGGGAUGAUAAUGACAGUACCGGGAGAAUAAGCUCCGGCUAACUCCGUG
rnacentral:rRNA from 1 species